UACGUAGGGGGCAAGCGUUGUCCGGAAUCAUUGGGCGUAAAGAGCGUGUAGGCGGCUCGAUAAGUCUGCUGUGAAAGUCCAGGGCUCAACCCUGGAAGGCCGGUGGAAACUGUCGGGCUAGAGUCCGGAAGAGGCGAGUGGAAUUCCCGGUGUAGCGGUGAAAUGCGCAGAUAUCGGGAGGAACACCAAUGGCGAAGGCAGCUACCUGGACAGAAACUGACGCUGAGGCGCGAAAGCUAGGGGAGCAAACAGG
rnacentral:rRNA from 1 species